rnacentral:rRNA from 3 species
UACGUAGGGUGCGGGCGUUAAUCGGAAUUACUGGGCGUAAAGCGUGCGCAGGCGGUUUGCUAAGACAGGUGUGAAAUCCCCGAGCUUAACUUGGGAACUGCGCUUGUAACUGGCAAGCUAGAGUGUGGCAGAGGGGGGUGGAAUUCCACGUGUAGCAGUGAAAUGCGUAGAGAUGUGGAGGAACACCGAUGGCGAAGGCAGCCCCCUGGGCUAACACUGACGCUCAUGCACGAAAGCGUGGGGAGCAAACAGG